AUAAUAAAAUUGAUUCACCAGUAGGAACAGUCGCUACCACUCAUCUGCUGUACAAAUUACAUACGUGGCGAAUGAAUUAAAAUAAGUAGACGAUUUCAGUUGAUUACCUCGAAUGUUUAUCGCCAAUGUGAAUACGACCUUGAAGUAAUCGUAAUUGUCGUGUGCGUGACGUUUCUGAUGUUUACCAACCUUUAUCAAGCCUAAAGAAAACUAUCGAUGCAUCGAUAAGCACAUUUUACGUUUUCCAAAAUAAUAUUUUAUAUUCAGUGACAAAUUGCUCGAGUAAUAACUACUUUUAGAUAGGAAAAUGGCGACGAAGGUCGGGGAAUCAGGAUUUAAAUCGCUUGCGAAAUAAUGCGACUUUAGCCUUCUCUGGCCGACUUUUUAGAGAUUCAAGCUUAAAGUUCGUGUACUGGCUGCAGGAAGUAAACUUAUGCUUCUUUUCUUGUUUUUACACGAUAAAAGUAGACAAUAAACACGGGUGUUGUGAAAUCCGGGACACGAUAAAAAAGCCUCGCUGGGAGUUCGAUAAACGAACCGGUCAACGCACGCAGUUUCCAAAUACUAAAUAAUAUACGGUGUUACUCAAGAACGAGCGAUUAGAAAGUACCGCAACAAAGAAAAGAAAAACAGGCUGUAUACUGCGAUAAUAUUCGUUGAGUGUCAUAUUACGCUAAGAGAUGUGUCUUUCUCAUAUUACUGUUACUGUUAUUGUUAAAAUUUACGCAAGUACGAUAGAUUAGUAAUUGUUUGUCACGUGUAUAGUCGAUUCUGUUAAUCUGCAAUUAAUUUCCUUCCUGUAUCUUAACAACAAACGCUGCUAGCACAAUCUGAAAAUACAGUUCGUUAGAUCGCUAAAGUGAUACCGGUUUCUACUGGUUUCCAGCGCACUUUAACGUCACCAAUGGUAUUCAUUGAAACGAA
rnacentral:misc_RNA from 1 species